rnacentral:misc_RNA from 1 species
AACCAUAGAAACCUGCGGAGUACCUGCGGAAGGAUCAUUACUGAGUAAAUUGGGUCUUUAUGGCCCAUACUCCCACCCUUUUGUGUACCUUACCAAUUGUUAAGUUGCCUUGGUAGGAACCUACCUCCUCACGGAAAGUAAGGCCUACCAUUGGAACUCUUUUAAAACUCUUUUGAAUUGAGUCGUCUGAGAAUAAAUUCAAAUGAAUUAAAACUUUCAACAACGGAUCUCAGAUCGGAA